AACGAACGCUGGCGGCGUGGAUAAGACAUGCAAGUCGAACGGGACCAAAUCUGUAGCAAUACAGGUUUAGUUUAGUGGCGAACGGGUGCGUAACACGUGGGCAAUCUGCCGAGAAGUGGGGGAUAGCUCGCCGAAAGGCGAAUUAAUACCGCAUAUGAUCAGUGAAGACAUCUUCACGACAUCAAAGCCGGGGCAACCUGGCGCUUCUUGAUGAGCCCGCGGCCAUCAGCUAGUUGGUGAGGUAACGGCUCACCAAGGCUAUGACGGGUAGCUGGUCUGAGAGGACGACCAGUCACACUGGAACUGAGACACGGUCCAGACACCUACGGGUGCAGCAGUCGAGAAUUUUUCNCAAUGGGGCAACCCUGAAGGAGCGACGCC
rnacentral:rRNA from 1 species